rnacentral:rRNA from 1 species
AGAGUUUGAUCAUGGCUCAGGACGAACGCUGGCGGCACGCUUAACACAUGCAAGUCGAACGAGAGAAGAGGAGCUUGCUUUUCUGAUCUAGUGGCGGACGGGUGAGUAACACGUGAGCAAUCUGCCUUUCAGAGGGGGAUACCGAUUGGAAACGAUCGUUAAUACCGCAUAACAUAAUUGAACCGCAUGAUUUGAUUAUCAAAGAUUUAUCGCUGAAAGAUGAGCUCGCGUCUGAUUAGCUAGUUGGUAAGGUAACGGCUUACCAAGGCGACGAUCAGUAGCCGGACUGAGAGGUUGAUCGGCCACAUUGGGACUGAGACACGGCCCAGACUCCUACGGGAGGCAGCAGUGGGGAAUAUUGCACAAUGGAGGAAACUCUGAUGCAGCGAUGCCGCGUGAGGGAAGAAGGUUUUAGGAUUGUAAACCUCUGUCUUCAGGGACGAAAAAAGACGGUACCUGAGGAGGAAGCUCCGGCUAACUACGUGCCAGCAGCCGCGGUAAUACGUAGGGAGCGAGCGUUGUCCGGAAUUACUGGGUGUAAAGGGAGCGUAGGCGGGAUCGCAAGUCAGAUGUGAAAACUAUGGGCUUAACCCAUAAACUGCAUUUGAAACUGUGGUUCUUGAGUGAAGUAGAGGUAAGCGGAAUUCCUAGUGUAGCGGUGAAAUGCGUAGAUAUUAGGAGGAACAUCAGUGGCGAAGGCGGCUUACUGGGCUUUAACUGACGCUGAGGCUCGAAAGCGUGGGGAGCAAACAGGAUUAGAUACCCUGGUAGUCCACGCCGUAAACGAUGAUUACUAGGUGUGGGGGGACUGACCCCUUCCGUGCCGCAGCAAACGCAAUAAGUAAUCCACCUGGGGAGUACGACCGCAAGGUUGAAACUCAAAGGAAUUGACGGGGGCCCGCACAAGCAGUGGAGUAUGUGGAUUAAUUCGAAGCAACGCGAAGAACCUUACCAGGUCUUGACAUCGUAUGCAUAGCUCAGAGAUGAGUGAAAUCUCUUCGGAGACAUAUAGACAGGUGGUGCAUGGUUGUCGUCAGCUCGUGUCGUGAGAUGUUGGGUUAAGUCCCGCAACGAGCGCAACCCUUACUGUUAGUUGCUACGCAAGAGCACUCUAGCAGGACUGCCGUUGACAAAACGGAGGAAGGUGGGGAUGACGUCAAAUCAUCAUGCCCCUUAUGACCUGGGCCUCACACGUACUACAAUGGCUGUCAACAGAGGGAAGCAAAGCCGCGAGGUGGAGCGAACCCCUAAAAGCAGUCUUAGUUCGGAUUGUAGGCUGCAACCCGCCUACAUGAAGUCGGAAUUGCUAGUAAUCGCAGGUCAGCAUGCUGCGGUGAAUACGUUCCCGGGCCUUGUACACACCGCCCGUCACGCCAUGGGAGUCGGUAACACCCGAAGCCUGUAGUCUAACCGCAAGGAGGACGCAGUCGAAGGUGGGAUUGAUGACUGGGGUGAAGUCGUAACAAGGUA